rnacentral:snRNA from 1 species
UUUCCAGGAUAUAACAAAAAGUUAUAAAUUUGGAAUGAUACAGAGAAUAGCAUGAUCACUUGACAAAGAUGAUAUUUAAAUCUGUGAAGCAUUUCUUUUUUGU